UACAGAGGGUGCAAGCGUUGUUCGGAAUUAUUGGGCGUAAAGCGCGUGUAGGCGGCUUUGCAAGUCGGGUGUGAAAUCCCUCAGCUCAACUGAGGAAGUGCGUCCGAAACUGCAGAGCUUGAGUACCGGAGAGGAUGGCGGAAUUCCCCAAGUAGAGGUGAAAUUCGUAGAUAUGGGGAGGAACACCGGUGGCGAAGGCGGCCAUCUGGACGGAUACUGACGCUGAGGCGCGAAAGCUAGGGGAGCAAACAGG
rnacentral:rRNA from 1 species